GUUCUUGUAGCGCAGACGAUCUGUGCUUCCGAAUGGAGAAUCAGCCCAGAUGAGGGACUCGUCCUUCUCCAGCCGUGCAGAUGUGCGCUGAUCAGUAUUGCAUCUCCUACAUAUCAAGCCGUUUGUCCCACCUCUCCAUGACAUCGGCACACACACUUUUAUCGACUCUCGUCGUCUCCUACAGGCGAUAGUGUUUGGAACAAGAACGGCCCAAGGCGCACGAUUAGGUCCAGAUAGAAGACAUUAGGUCGGAAAAACAGAGUCUCAACUCUGGUGACGUGUCAUGUUGCUAUAUGAGGGCGAGAGGUGUUGUUUCUCUCCUGGCCAUGAGCUGACACUGAAGGGCUGGUGGUGCUGUGGUAAACGCUCAUUUGGAACAAGUAUAUAAUAAAAAUGAGAGCCCUCGUUUCA
rnacentral:misc_RNA from 1 species